AUAUACUUUAUAUAUAACCUUUGAGUCCUUACAUGUAUGGGCUCAACUUUAUAUAGAUAAAUAGUUAGUUACAUUAUUUGGAUAUUUAUUGAAGGUAGCUUUGUAUUCUAAAUUAAAAACUUUGUAAUAAAGACUUUUCUUGGAUUCCAUUUACAUACAUUUCAUGAAGUGAAAUGAAUAUUCAUCAAUAGCAUGCUGUCAAAUGGGCUGUUGCUACAGGAUGCUGUGUGGGCAUUAGCACAAAGAUGGAGGUUUGUAAUUCAUGGUUUUGUAAUUGGUUUGGUCAUAUUUCUGAAGGCAAGGAGUUUCCAGCUUACAACAAGACACAGACAGUAUCAGUGCUCAGAAUUUCCAAUCACAAAGAAACCUACCUGCAAUAGACCAACUUUGUUCCUGGAUUUCAGGUUUGCUAUUAUUUGAUUGUGAGUGAAUUUAGGUCCAUCACUUGACCUAUGUAAUCCUUAAUUGCAUAAUCUAGCAGUCUGGUUUAAAGACAGAUUGCUAAGCUGCAUCCCCAGGGUUUCUGACUUAGUCAAGUCUGGGGUGGGACCCAAGCAUUUGCAUUUCUAUCAAUUUCCCAAGUCAUGUUGACGUGUUUUAGAGAUGAUGCUUUGAGAACCACUGCUGUAUGGUUACCUGCAUUGUAGAACAGUGGUUAAAAACAUAGGUACUAAGUCACAGGCAAGAUACUGGGUUGAUUCUUCAACACGUUGCUUAAUCUUUUUUACUGUGUUUCCUGAUUUUUAUAAAACAAAAUUAUUAGUAGCUCCCUCAUUAGAUAGUCGUGUGGAUGAAGUAUAUAUAGCAGGAAUUCAAUAAGUGUUAACCAUACUAUUAAUUAUAGUUCUAUAAAAUAUAUAGUUUAUUUUCCUAUAUCGUACCUGAAGAGUUAGAUGCUGUGGGUGAUAGUACACCUGUUUGUUCUGAAGUUAUCUUACGGAUUUCCUGCAAUCAUCUCCUAGUCCCCAUAGCUGACUGCUGUGAGCAUUUUAUCUUUCCCUGCCCCUUCAGAAGAGUAGGAACAGUAGCACUCUCUGAUUAUCUGUUUUCUCCCUCAUACACAGUGCACAAAAUCUAGCAACUAAGUAUUUAAAAUAAUCUACAGACUCAAAAAUAAAUCUUAUUGUUUUCACGUUAAACUCUUCCUGGGAUUUGUACUAAAGGAGAAUUAUAUUUGCAUUAGUUGAGCUUUACAGGAUGCCCUAAUAAGGCCUCAGCAAUCAAAAGAUAAUUAUUAAGCAGGGGUGUUUCAACUGCUAUAUAUACUUUUUUUCCCAUUCAGUGUGAACUACAAGAGUUAAACAUGUAAUUACAUUAAGGUGAAGAUAAAACUAAGUUCCAGAUUACUUAUCAAGCUGGUAUGGUCAAGUACAUGGCAGUAGUUUACAAAAACAAAACAAUCUAAUAAUAAAUUACAACAUAUUUUUCGACUGUCAAGAAAUGUCACAACCCAUGCUUCUCCAAUAACAUGAUCCUGGCUGUGAUGCUGCUGGGAAUGAAUAGGAUGGAAAUACAAUCAUCCUGCUUUUCUUUUCUCUGUACCAUUACUCCAUCCAUUGUGCCACAUUCAAUUCUUUUCUUUGUCUCAGUUUACUUACCCAAACUACAUUAACAUUGUUCAACAUAUAGUUUGUACAACACUAGUACAAUGAGAUGCUCAGUAGGAAAAGUUCUCUAGAACAAAACAAACAAGGAAGUAAAAUGUAACCAGAGUCGUUGAAAUUAAGAACAAACUGACAGUAACCAG